ACCACAGUCACGAAUACAGCCCAGCGUUGGCUAUAUAAAAGGAAAAAGAACAGCACCAAGCGCCACUCAACCUCCUUGAAGACCCAUGAGCAGAUAGGUGCAGUCUCUCUCUCCUGGAUUUCAGGCACAAUGUUUGCGUUAUUGGUUUGCAUCCUGACACUGCAUGAAGUGUACUCUGUGUGCAAUGUGGUAAGUACUCCUACUAAUUACUUAAAAUAACAUAUGUCAUCUGAAACAGUACAUUAGACAUGAAACCAAUUACACGUUAAAGUAUUUAUGAAAGGUCUUACUCUGAAAGCUUUUCAUUCUUUCCCUUGAGCCAUCUCCUACUGCUGUGUCCACAGUCAAAAAUUUGCCCAGACAGCACAGCAGUUCAGGCUGAGAUCCUUAACCAGCACAAUGCCUUCCGGAGAGCGGUUACACCAACUGCUAGAGACAUGCUCAAGAUGAACUGGAGCGAGGAGGCAGCGGCCAGUGCUCAGGCUUGGGUUGACACCUGCUCCAUGGCUCAUGGCCCACCCAGCAGUCGCAUGCUUGGCGACUACGAAAUGGGUGAGAACCUGUUCAUGUCCUCCAAUUCUAAGAAUUGGACUGAAAUAGUUACAGCCUGGCACAGUGAGGUCAUAGAUUACUCCUAUCCCAAUGGAUCUAUCAAUGGUGGUUUGGAACAGUUCAUACAAGGUUGGCUGUGGUGUGGCCCUGUGUCCUGGCUCAGUCUACUUCUAUGGAUGCCAGUAUUACAGAGCGGGAAACUACAGAGGAGUGGCUCCAUACAAGGAAGGAGCUACAUGUGCUGACUGCCCCAACUCCUGCGAAAACAAGCUUUGCACCAAUCCCUGUCCUUACAUAAACAAGUAUGUCAAUUGUGCCGCCAUGAAAAAACAGGCCGGGUGCAGUAAUCCUUUGGUGUACGCCUGGUGUCCCGCCCUCUGCCUGUGCACCUCCAAAAUCAUCCCAAUAGCAAAGAAGUGAAACCACCAGACCUCUCCAAAAUGGUCCACUGAGAGAUAACUUUGAAUGAUUCCUCUGUUGUUUCCUUGUCUAUGAGAAGAAGAAAAAAACAUAAAACCUGGUUGAUCUAUCUACUGUACUUCUGGUAAAGUCAGUUGAUUUUAAAAAUACUAACUAUCACUAAUAAUAUUUUAAUAAUCACUGUAGGUCUAAGGUACAGAUAAAACAUGAUUCUUAUUCUGGGGGUAACAUAAGGUGUCUAAUCUAUAGUAACUAAUGUUAGUUUGAAGCGUUGCAAUGUAUUUUGUUCCCUUUCAUUGGUUUCAAUGUCUUCAUACCCAUUUCACCAAAGAAAAUCAAUUUUUGAUUUGCAUGGAUGUUGAAUAAGAAUAUCCUCUACAUUUUGAUAAGCAAUYUUUCCAUCAGUUACAGUAACAGUGAACAUUUUGAUAAUUUUAUUUCUGCUAAUUAACUACACAGUAAUAUGGUUAUACAGAACUGUAAUACCUCAACACAUUUAACUUUAAGUUGAUUCAUGCUGCUCACCAUUUGCUCUAUCAACAUUAAAUGUUUGCACAUGACAGAAAUAUAUAACCCUUAUUAUUUUCCUCAAUCACAUUAAAUGAUCAUGAAGAUUAA